UUUUUAUCGCUUAACAACCUCUUCAAAUUAACCAUGUACAGCGAAUGUGAUUAGCGCUUGUCGAUUAAAUAAAAACAGGCCCAUUCACGUACAAUCCUAAUCGCACAGGUUACCAUUAGGAGGCCAUGCAGAUAAUAUUACUCAUAUAUUCAUUUGGCCGACGACCAAAUCUUACUGUAGCGUGAGUGCUUACAAUUUUCGUAUCUUUUUGAAGGCUAUCCGGUGAUGUCAAACGAAAAACAUGGCGUUGCAAGCGCAAUUCUCGCUAUCGCAGUCAAAUGGGACAAAUUGACACACAGAUUUUGACAGUUAUUGUAGAAAUUCAACAACCUGUAUGCCUACAAGGACGCACAAGGACAUUGAGGAUGCUCACCCCCUGCUCAGCCCAUCAAACUAAUUUUCUCUCCAGCACGUCCCAUUUAUUCUGAUGGCAUGUGUCCCGGCCAAGGAAAUGUGGCACGGAAAUAAUUGAAAAAAACUGAAGCAAAACUUAAGCAUGGACAAAUAAUAACAAUAAAAACGACACAGGCAUUUUUUCCCCCGGGAGAAACGUCAGUGAGUUUUCACCUUUCCUGUUAGAAGAUAAGCAAAGUGACAGCAGUGGAAGAGGUGGUAUCACAGGGCGUACAGAAGCACCACAGGAAAUCCCAUCCUGAGAAGACAGGUCCUAAGCCUCAGAGGACUUCACUACGCAGUAGCUGUGAAAAAGUUGUCUGUCUGACACACACAUCUUCUCUAGUGGGACUUGUGACAGACAGACUGCUGGGGAAAAAUCCCUUUGCCUCAUUUCUCCCCAUUACCCAGUAGGCCCUGCAGGACCGUGCACAGACCUUUUGAGAGGCAUGUGCUGAGACUGAAAAAAUGGGCGGAGUUGUCGGCUCACACGGACGGACAAUGUGUCGGAGUGCGUGACGCAUGACAAAGACGGACGACAUAUACCCGUGGGAGUGCGUGACACCGGUCACGGAGAUGGACGGGCACAUGCCAACUGGAAAGAACACUAUUUAACAAACGGGUACGUGCUCUGCACAGGUUGAGCCUUAUCUGUGCAUGUGCCUGAGGCCCUGGGAGACUGGAGGAAACACUGGGAUGGAGUUCUGUGAAUGAUACAGUAUAUGGGAAGGAGGUCUGUGAAGAACAUAGUAUAUGGGAAGGAGGUCUGUGUAGUGGUGGUAAAGGCACCUGGUUUUGUCAAAAGUUUCAUUGUAAAAAGGGGUUGAGAAUCCUGAAUCCCGAUUGGCUGAAAAGGUUUAUGCGAUUGUAUACCACAGGUAUGACAUAAUUUAACGUUUUACUCUUGGAAUUGAGUUGGUAAACGGUUUAUAAUGGCAAUCACAGACAUCUAAGUGCUGUACCAAGGAACUCUGUACUACGUGAUACCUGAGAACAGCUACCAGCCUUGAUAAAUUGUUCAUACAAAAUAAAACUGUGCAUUUUUAUUUUUAAAAACAAAAACAUUUGCCUUGACUAAAUUAUUGGCACCCUUUUGGAGAUUUCUAAAUACUUUGGUAAAGAGUAAGUGGUCCUCGU
rnacentral:lncRNA from 1 species